UACAGAGGUCCCAAGCGUUGUUCGGAUUCAUUGGGCGUAAAGGGUGCGUAGGCGGCGCGGUAAGUCGGGUGUGAAAUCUCGGAGCUUAACUCCGAAACUGCAUUCGAUACUGCCGUGCUUGAGGACUGGAGAGGAGACUGGAAUUUACGGUGUAGCGGUGAAAUGCGUAGAUAAUCGUAAGGAAGACCAGUGGCGAAGGCGGGUCUCUGGACAGUUCCUGACGCUGAGGCACGAAGGCCAGGGGAGCGAAACGGG
rnacentral:rRNA from 1 species